CGGCGGACGGGUGAGUAAUGCUUAGGAAUCUGCCUAUUAGUGGGGGACAACGUUCCGAAAGGGGCGCUAAUACCGCAUACGUCCUACGGGAGAAAGCAGGGGACCUUCGGGCCUUGCGCUAAUAGAUGAGCCUAAGUGGAUUAGCUAGUUGGUAGGGUAAAGGCCUACCAAGGCGACGAUCUGUAGCGGGUCUGAGAGGAUGAUCCGCCACACUGGGACUGAGACACGGCCCAG
rnacentral:rRNA from 1 species